rnacentral:rRNA from 1 species
UAGGGAAUUUUGGACAAUGGGGGAAACCCUGAUCCAGCCAUCCCGCGUGUGCGAUGAAGGCCUUCGGGUUGUAAAGCACUUUUGGCAGGAAAGAAACGUCAUGGGUUAAUACCCCGUGAAACUGACGGUACCUGCAGAAUAAGCACCGGCUAACUACGUGCCAGCAGCCGCGGUAAUACGUAGGGUGCAAGCGUUAAUCGGAAUUACUGGGCGUAAAGCGUGCGCAGGCGGUUCGGAAAGAAAGAUGUGAAAUCCCAGAGCUCAACUUUGGAACUGCAUUUUUAACUACCGGGCUAGAGUGUGUCAGAGGGAGGUGGAAUUCCGCGUGUAGCAGUGAAAUGCGUAGAUAUGCGGAGGAACACCGAUGGCGAAGGCAGCCUCCUGGGAUAACACUGACGCUCAUGCACGAAAGCGUGGGGAGCAAACAGG